CCUCUUUAACCAUAUGGACCAAGUAUUUUCUCUAUUGUUUCCUCAGGCUGUUGGACACCAAGCUCAUGGCCACUACGCAACCUUUCAAGGAGUUGAUCAACAUCACAUCUCUAGCAGAGCUGCAGAAACAGCUGAAAGAGAGCCCCUUCAAAUCUCCGAAAGUUGUAACGGCGGAGGGGUUCCCCAGCUACGAUACAGCCCAGGAACAGCUCCACGAGGCGGGCUACGAUGCCUAUAUCACUGGCCUCUGCUUCAUCUCCAUGGCCAACUACCUA